rnacentral:lncRNA from 1 species
UAAUUCGUACGUGCGAAACAGACGGUUGGUUGCAUUAGCCGAUUUUCCAGGAAGGUCUCGGUUUAGGGCCACAACCGAACCUUCAAAGGAGGUAAAUUUUUGUGACCAGUUUUCGGCGGGCAAGGGGACCCAGGUGGGCCUGGGUGCGUUGGAAGGUUCUGCUCUAUCGACUGUACCUAACAGGCUCGCACCGCCAUUCGUGGCAGCCAAGGUAGUGUCGGUUUGGAAGCUUGAGGUUAAGUCGGUACACAGUGCGUACGUGGGACUACUUGUCGACUGCGACUUAGAAAUGUCGAUCAGCUCGAUCAUCCCCGUGGGAAGACGCGCUGAUAACUGAAGAAUGUAUCUUUAGUCAACGGCUGACCAUCGAAGGACCUAGCCGCUUGAGUCUAAAAUCGACAGGAAAGAUAAAUCUGGAAACAACUGCGCAGUUGAGCGGACAUAUGAGAAUCGCACUCCGCAGAUUUCGAGUACCGGGUUCUCUACCUCCUGGAUCCUGCGCUCCAGGUCCGCUACCUGGUGAAACUCGACUUCCGGGAUAAACACUCCGUGGUUCCUGCGCUCUAGGUCUGCUACUUGGUAAAACUCGACUUCCAGGACAAACGCUCCGUAGUUUCUGCGCUCCAAGUCCGCUACCUGGUGAAACUAUCCAUAUAACGAUAUGAUGUUCAUAAUUUCUAAAAAAUUUAUAUUUUGUUAGAUGCAGUAACGAGGAGCUCACAUUUAGCGAGACGACAAGCAUUCAUUAUAAGUUCAGGUUUUUUUCAGAUGUGCUUCAUAAAUAUAUAAAUCCGUAAUUAAGGGAAAAAAUGGA